AAAAGAUUAGUUAAAAAAUAACCUUAAUUUGUCAAAUUAAAAUUAUUAAUUAAUUAAUAUCUUUUU
rnacentral:tRNA from 1 species